rnacentral:rRNA from 1 species
GGCCAAGUUUUUAAGGGCGCACGGUGGAUGCCUUGGCACCAGGAACCGAUGAAGGACGUGGGAGGCCACGAUAGUCCCCGGGGAGCCGUCAACCAGGCUUUGAUCCGGGGGUUUCCGAAUGGGGAAACCCGGCAGUCGUCAUGGGCUGUCACCCAUACCUGAACACAUAGGGUAUGUGGAGGGAACGCGGGGAAGUGAAACAUCUCAGUACCCGCAGGAAGAGAAAACAACCGUGAUUCCGGGAGUAGUGGCGAGCGAAACCGGAUGAGGCCAAACCGUAUGCGUGUGAGACCCGGCAGGGGUUGCGUAUACGGGGUUGUGGGAUCUCUCUUCUGUCGUCUGCCGGCGACAGGACGAGUCAGAAACCGUUGAUGUAGGCGAAGGACAUGCGAAAGGUCCGGCGUAGAGGGUAAGACCCCCGUAGUCGAAACGUCAGCGGCUCGUUUGAGAGACACCCAAGUAGCACGGGGCCCGAGAAAUCCCGUGUGAAUCUGGCGGGACCACCCGCUAAGCCUAAAUAUUCCCUGGUGACCGAUAGCGGAUAGUACCGUGAGGGAAUGGUGAAAAGUACCCCGGGAGGGGAGUGAAAUAGUACCUGAAACCGUGUGCCUACAAGCCGUGGGAGCGUCGGGCAAGCACUUGUGCUUGCCUCGUGACUGCGUGCCUUUUGAAGAAUGAGCCUGCGAGUUUGCGGUGUGUUGCGAGGUUAACCCGUGUGGGGAAGCCGUAGCGAAAGCGAGUCCGAA